rnacentral:rRNA from 1 species
UACGGAGGGCGCAAGCGUUAUCCGGAUUCACUGGGUUUAAAGGGUGCGUAGGUGGGUUUGUAAGUCAGUGGUGAAAUCUCCAAGCUUAACUUGGAAACUGCCGUUGAUACUAUAAAUCUUGAAUGUUGUGGAGGUGAGCGGAAUAUGUCAUGUAGCGGUGAAAUGCUUAGAUAUGACAUAGAACACCAAUUGCGAAGGCAGCUCACUACACAAAGAUUGACACUGAGGCGCGAAAGCGUGGGGAGCAAACAGG